ensembl:antisense Gm37640 predicted gene, 37640
UGGAAAAUCCGAGUGCUUACACUCAUUCCGCCAACCAUAUCCAUCCAUCCAGGAUCUGUGCCAACCACGAACCAGGAUACCCCAGGUUCUGGAGGUGCAAUUAUCAGACACCGAGAUUCUCAUUGUCCCGGAGCUAUGACGGGCCUGCAGGAUGACAACCCAAAGACCCAAGUUUGGCCCCACCCCCACCCCAGGACCAAAGGAGAGAAAAGACUGUCCUGUGACAGCCACAGGUUUGCAUCUGCUCACACAUGAAUGCACACCUGUACAGAUGCACACACUCAAUAAAAAUGUAAUACAA